AAGGAAAAGUUGGGAGAAGGAGGCUUUGGUUCUGUGUAUAAAGGAACUCUUCGUAGCGGCCAUGUUGCUGCCAUAAAGAUGCUGAGUAACUCUAAAACUAAUGGGCAAGAUUUUAUCAAUGAAGUUGCUACCAUUGGAAGGAUUUACCAUACUAAUGUAGUUCAACUAAUUGGCUUUUGUGUCGAGGGAUCAAAGCGCGCUCUUAUUUAUGAUUUCAUGCCUAAUGGAUCUCUUGACAAGUACAUGUGUUCUCAUGAGGGAUCUUUCUCCUUAAGUUGGGACAAGUUAUAUGAAAUUUCUCUUGGAGUAGCUCGUGGCAUUGAAUAUUUGCAUAAAGGUUGUGACAUGCAAAUUCUACAUUUUGAUAUCAAGCCACACAAUAUUCUUCUUGAUGAGAAUUUCAUUCCAAAGAUUUCUGACUUUGGACUUGCUAAACUAUAUGCAACAAAUGAUAGCAUUAAGUCUCUCACUGCAGCAAGAGGAACAAUAGGAUACAUGGCACCAGAGUUAUUCUAUAGAAACAUUGGUCCUGUCUCAUACAAAGCAGAUGUCUAUAGUUUUGGAAUGCUGUUACUAGAAAUGGCAGGUAAAAGGAAGAAUUUGAAUGCAUUGGCAGCACAUUCAAGUGAAACUUACUUUCCGUUUUGGGUUUAUGAUGAAGUCUCUAAUGGGAAGGUUGUAGUAAUUGGUGAUGCCGCAGAGGAGUCAAAUAAAAUAGCUAAGAAGAUGGUUAUGGUAGGCCUGUGGUGUAUACAAAUGAAACCAAACAAUCGCCCUCCAAUGAACAAAGUCAUAGAGAUGCUUGAAGGAGAUCUUGAAGGUCUACAAUUGCCUUCAAGGCUUUCUCUAUGUCCACAAGAAAGUAUAUUGGAAGAUGGAGAAGAGUCCCCGUCCAUGUCAAUUGACUUUUCAGAAUCAUCUAGUUUGAUUGAAAAUGCAUCUUAAAAUUAUUUGAGGGAGUUAUUGUACUUGGCAAAUUAACGGACCAUCAGAACUCAGAGAAGUAACUAUUUAAACCGAAAUGAACCAAUUAACCCGGUGCUUUCUGCUUAGUAAUAUUUUUCUCAUGCUUGUCUAUGGAACUACUGGACGAUCCUUUGCUAUAUGAUUGCUAUAUGAUUACUACUUGAUUGAUUAUUACAGACCAGCUCUAAUUAAGAUUUACCCUGCUUCUGUGAUGGCCUUCAACUCAUGGUGAAGUUUUCUUCUUGGGAUUCUUGCAUUCAUUCUUGUAACUCAUGGUGAAGUUUUCUUCUUGGGAUUCUUGCAUUCAUUCUUGUAGGAUUAGAAAAGCUGAAAGGAUUAGCAGGUAUUGAUAGACCGUCUCCUUCCCCAUACAGCAUUUGAGCAACCAUUUUCAUGGAAGGACGAUCCCCUGGAAUCUGCUAAAUGCACCAGUCCCCCAUAAUUGCAAGUUCCUUUGCAAUUUUUGCAUCUUCCACUUCCUAUGCAUCAAUCUGGAACGUUAGAUCGUCUGCUUCCUCCAAAAGAUUAUAAAUCCAUUAUGGGAAGUAUAUUUGAUCAGCAUUUCCUUGUUUAACAUCAACGGUCUUCCUUCCUCCAAUCAUAUCUAGCAUCCCAACAUUCCAAAACUACAAACAUGUGGCUUGCAGGAAACAUUCCUUAAUAACACUUCAUGAGCAAUGUAGCCAAUGGUUCCUCUAGCUAUUGUCAUGGACAAUGCACUUAAUUAGACCGUUUGAACACAACUUAGCCAGGCCAAAAUCUGAGAUUUUAAGAUUGAAGUUGUGGUCUGGAAAGAUAUUACAUGGAUUCAUGUCAAAAUGGUGGAAUUGUUGAGGACCUUAACAGCUUUCAUAAUUUUGACGUAGAACUUUCCUUUGAGCACAGUUCCAUAAGCUCUUCGGCCUACUUCCACCUUGAUAACAGCAUAGGAAUAUAUUUCAGGUCUGAUAUAUAUAUAUAUAUGUAAAGUGAAAUAAUACCUGCAAAUAAUGGAAUGUUUCUAAUCAAGAAGGCUUAUGUCCAAAAUAAUCAUUUAUUUUGUUUUGGAUUAAAAGUAAUCAACCCAAUUUAAUGCAGUAUAAAAGUAACCUGAUGCCACAAACUUUGCUG
rnacentral:misc_RNA from 1 species